UCGUGUGACGUCGCUGUUGUCGUCUCCCGUUUCAAAUUUUAUUUUUAUUUUCUCGUUGUGCGUUUUUUUUUUUUUGGUUUUUACGUGUCGGAUGUGUGUUUGCGUGGUUCUCUGUAUUAGGAAGUAUCCGUGUGUGUCCAAGCAAAAGAAAAUGACAUUGCGCCAACUGUUGAAUCGUGCGUGAAUUCGAGGACGGGAUUUAAAAAAAAAAAACAAAAAAAACAACUAAACGAAAUGUUGUAAUUGAAAAACAGCGGCGCAGAUGAAAAGAGUGAAAGUAUUACGAGGUGCUAUUUCUCCCAUCAUUGCCAUCAAAAACACGUGAAAAAAAAAUAUGCUCGCAGCUUUAAACUGAAAAUUUGUCGGAAAUUCG